rnacentral:rRNA from 1 species
UACGGAGGUGGCAAGCGUUGUUCAGAAUUACUGGGCGUAAAGGGCGCGUAGGCGGCCUGUUGCGUCAGGUGUGAAAGCCCCGGGCUCAACCUGGGAUGUGCGCUUGAUACGGGCGGGCUGGAAUCCGGGAGAGGAUGGUGGAAUUCCCAGUGUAGAGGUGAAAUUCGUAGAUAUUGGGAAGAACACCGAUGGCGAAGGCAGCCAUCUGGACCGGCAUUGACGCUGAGGCGCGAAAGCGUGGGGAGCAAACAGG